GAUGAAGAACGUAGCGAAACGCGAUAGUUAAUGUGAAUUGCAGAAUUCAGUGAAUCAUCGAGUCUUUGAACGCACAUUGCGCCCAUUGGUAUUCCGUUGGGCAUGUCUGUUUGAGCGUCAUUACAACAGUUCAGCGUAAGCUGGUUAUGAGUUCUGUUUUUUUAAACAAAAAACAGGCUUUAAAAUGUAUGUUCUGCAGGUCGCUUUGCUAAACCCUAAACAUUAAAUACUGUUCUAGUGAAGCAUUUGCGACUCUGCCUGAAAAAAAACUUUUAUUAAAGUUUGACCUCAGAUCAGACAAGGAUACCCGCUGAACUUAAGCAUAUCAAUAAGCGGAGGA
rnacentral:misc_RNA from 1 species